UACGUAGGGGGCAAGCGUUGUCCGGAUUUAUUGGGCUAAAGAGCGUGUAGGCGGCCCGGUAAGUCCGCUGUAAAAGUCAAAGGCUCAACCUUUGAAUGUCAGUGGAUACUGCCGGGCUAGAGUCCGGAAGAGGAGUGUGGAAUUCCCGGGUGUAGCGGUGAAAUGCGCAGAUAUCGGGAAGAACACCCGUGGCGAAGGCGGCACUCUGGGACGGUACUGACGCUGAGACGCGAAAAGCGUG
rnacentral:rRNA from 1 species